GAUGAACGCUGGCGGCGUGCCUAAUGCAUGCAAGUCGAGCGAACGGACGAGAAGCUUGCUUCUCUGAUGUUAGCGGCGGACGGGUGAGUAACACGUGGAUAACCUACCUAUAAGACUGGGAUAACUUCGGGAAACCGGAGCUAAUACCGGAUAAUAUUUUGAACCGCAUGGUUCAAAAGUGAAAGACGGUCUUGCUGUCACUUAUAGAUGGAUCCGCGCUGCAUUAGCUAGUUGGUAAGGUAACGGCUUACCAAGGCAACGAUGCAUAGCCGACCUGAGAGGGUGAUCGGCCACACUGGAACUGAGACACGGUCCAGACUCCUACGGGAGGCAGCAGUAGGGAAUCUUCCGCAAUGGGCGAAAGCCUGACGGAGCAACGCCGCGUGAGUGAUGAAGGUCUUCGGAUCGUAAAACUCUGUUAUUAGGGAAGAACAUAUGUGUAAGUAACUGUGCACAUCUUGACGGUACCUAAUCAGGAAGCCACGGCUAACUACGUGCCAGCAGCCGCGGUAAUACGUAGGUGGCAAGCGUUAUCCGGAAUUAUUGGGCGUAAAGCGCGCGUAGGCGGUUUUUUAAGUCUGAUGUGAAAGCCCACGGCUCAACCGUGGAGGGUCAUUGGAAACUGGAAAACUUGAGUGCAGAAGAGGAAAGUGGAAUUCCAUGUGUAGCGGUGAAAUGCGCAGAGAUAUGGAGGAACACCAGUGGCGAAGGCGACUUUCUGGUCUGUAACUGACGCUGAUGUGCGAAAGCGUGGGGAUCAAACAGGAUUAGAUACCCUGGUAGUCCACGCCGUAAACGAUGAGUGCUAAGUGUUAGGGGGUUUCCGCCCCUUAGUGCUGCAGCUAACGCAUUAAGCACUCCGCCUGGGGAGUACGACCGCAAGGUUGAAACCCAAAGGAAUUGACGGGGACCCGCACAAGCGGUGGAGCAUGUGGUUUAAUUCGAAGCAACGCGAAGAACCUUACCAAAUCUUGACAUCCUUUGACAACUCUAGAGAUAGAGCCUUCCCCUUCGGGGGGGCAAAGUGACAGGUGGUGCAUGGUUGUCGUCAGCUCGUGUCGUGAGAUGUUGGGUUAAGUCCCGCAACGAGCGCAACCCUUAAGCUUAGUUGCCAUCAUUAAGUUGGGCACUCUAAGUUGACUGCCGGUGACAAACCGGAGGAAGGUGGGGAUGACGUCAAAUCAUCAUGCCCCUUAUGAUUUGGGCUACACACGUGCUACAAUGGACAAUACAAAGGGCAGCGAAACCGCGAGGUCAAGCAAAUCCCAUAAAGUUGUUCUCAGUUCGGAUUGUAGUCUGCAACUCGACUACAUGAAGCUGGAAUCGCUAGUAAUCGUAGAUCAGCAUGCUACGGUGAAUACGUUCCCGGGUCU
rnacentral:rRNA from 1 species